rnacentral:rRNA from 1 species
UACGUAGGGUGCAAGCGUUAAUCGGAAUUACUGGGCGUAAAGCGUGCGCAGGCGGUUCGCUAAGACAGAUGUGAAAUCCCCCGGGCUUAACCUGGGAACUGCAUUUUGUGACUGGCGGGCUAGAGUAUGGCAGAGGGGGGGUAGAAUUCCACGUGUAGCAGUGAAAUGCGUAGAGAUGUGGAGGAAUACCGAUGGCGAAGGCAGCCCCCUGGGCCCAAUACUGACGCUCAUGCCACGAA